rnacentral:rRNA from 1 species
GGCUUGGCGGUGCGGUCGGCCCCGUGUGGGUCAGUACUUGCGCCGCGAGGCCAUCCUCGGGGAAGGCGUAUCUGUCAUUCAGUUGAUGGGUACGAGGACUCCGUCAUUUACUGUGAGCAAAAUAGAGUGUUCAAAGCAGGCUUACGCCGUUGAAUACAUUAGCAUGGAAUAAUAAGAUAGGACUCUGGUCUAUUUUGUUGGUUAGUACUCCAGGGUA